AGGUGUAAGGAUUAUGAUCUUUUGCAUGUAAACUGUAACGAACAGAGUAUCAGUUGUGAAAUGCUAUGUGGUUUAUCUCUGGCAGUUUCUGCAGGCUCUUUUUUGUCGCAGGUGUAAAGAUUAUGAUCUUUUGCAUGAAAACUGUAACGGACAAAGUGUAAACUGUGAAAUGCUGUGUGGUUUAUCUUUAGCAGUAAUAUGACCAAAAGCGAUGAUAUUCUGUUGCAGGUGUAGAGAUUGUGAUCUUUUGCAUGUACACCGAGCUAACUGCUGAAAAUGUAUGAUAACAUGUUGAGGUUAGGAAACAGUGUGGGCGGUUUAGAGCUUGCCAUGACUGAGAAGCAGCUGGGUGGUUUUGGGACUUUCCAUGACGGAGAAACAAAAAGACGGUUGAACAGAAGAACGUUGAAGACCGGAUCAAGUUUGUCAGUAUAACCAAAUAAGGUAUAUUUCCUGGACUAUAAAUAUAGUGAGAGAGUGCAGAAAUGGGGUUGUUUCCUCGCAGAAGAUCAGUGAACAAGAUCGGAGACAAGCCACAAAGCCACAGGUGGAUCAGAGUACCAGAGUCACAGCCAGACUGAUUAACUGCCUAAGAGAGAGGAUCAACCCGAUGCCAUUGAAUGACUGUGUCUCAGAUUUAAGGAUCUGAUCUCAUCUAAAGCCUUUUUUAUCCAGACAACAGAAGUGAACUUGAUCGGUGGCCAGCUGAUUGCUCCAUGAUUCAGGCUUCUGGAAGUCCUGUAUCUAACUCAAGUGGGCCUCUGGAUUCAACUAAACUCUUCCAAAGAAAGAAUCCAUUACCUCCAGGAGGAAACUGCAACCAAGAACUGAGUAAAUUAUCUAAAAGUUCGGAGCAUCAGUAUUUGUCACUUAAAGGAAGAAACCGGAAAACCAAGUCCUAUUUCCUUCAAGAAGUCACUCGUUGUUACCGAAGGGAAUCAUUCGGUCUAUGGAAGAAUCUCCGUCUUCAAAGCCUCUCAAACCCACUAGUUUCAGCUUCAGGGAAAGACAGGUUGAGUUGAUUGAUUUGUUUUUAUUAUCGUUUAAAUAAUCAUUAAUGCUGAAUUAAAGCUGUUGCCUGCUCCUGCCAAAGCUAUACUAAUUAAAGAAAGCAUCUAAAAUUCUAGUCAAGUUGUGGACAUUCAAUUAUUUAAGUCACAGUACUGUUGGUUUUUCAAUGGUGGUAAAAAGUCUUGUUGCUUGGUCCUAAUAGAUUAUAGGAGGUUUUUAACGGUUGCCUUAGUCAAACAAGUUAAAACAGCGUCCUUGAAGCUCGUGCCGAGCUACUAAAAUUAUCCUAGUCCAUAUACCAAGUGCCAGUUGUAAAAUAGGGAAUGAGCAGCCGUGAACAAAAGUGACUGUGCAAGGUGAGGAUGACCGCGAAGGGCUACUCGGUCACCCGGGCCUCCAGUUGAAGAAGGGCGAGACUUUUGGAUGAAGGCUGUCAGGGGCUAGGCGAGUCAUUUCCCAGCUUAAACAGAACUUUCAGUAAGCCUGUUAGGUAAGGCCCUUCAGGUUUAGGGAAGUCCGGACCCGUUGGAUGGAGAGCUGGUUUGAGCAAUACCUCUAAGAAAAGGGAAGUAAGUGGGAGGGGUUAGCUCAUCGGACAACAAAAAACUCAACAAGCUGUUGAGAGCCAUCUAAUUUAAAUCAAGUGUGUCAAGCAGAGAGGUGUCUAAAGCCUGCAGGACUUCAGCCCUGCAGCACUGGAGUUGCCCAUCCCUGUCUUAUACUGUGUUGUCGCUUUCAAACUAAUUCAGACACGCCAACUGACACCUGCGGAAGCUUGGACCCAUCUUGUGCUCCAUCUACUCGUGAGCAGUGUGUGACAUAGGCUCCCCCAUCCGAGAAGUACAAGACCUUUUGGGGCCUGCUGAAAACCCAACCCCUUCACAUUGGAAAGAUAGAAAAGCUUCCACAUUGGAAAAGUGGACUGUGUUAAGACCUUUUAUGGUCAAUCAGAUUUUGUUAUCUGAGAGGCCUAAAGAGGCAACUUGCCACCACUGUAGAGCCAAGGUUGCAGUUGUGAUGUGUCAGGAGUGUUUGCCAAGACCACUUUAUUGUGCAGCAUGUGAUGUUGCCAGACACGACUCCAUGGUGCUCAUAACAGAUCGUCCAUGGUAGAGGGAUUCUACAGUCCACUGCCACCAACAUCUCACAUUAGGGAAGAAGAGGGAGGAAAAUUCUCCUACCAUGAAAAAGAGAGCUUUUUUCCAGUAAAUCUUCCCUGCUGUGACUGCUCUACUGGACAGAUGGCCAUUUCUGCAGGAAAGCAAGGCGAUACAAUCUGUCUCUUCCAACUGUCACCUGCUCCUGUGGAAAGGCUUGGGAUGUUGGCAUUAGUGAUCUGGUUGAGAGUGGCUAUUGGCCAGCCACAGUCUAUUUUGAGACUUUAUAUGCAGUGGAUUUGUUUAUCACAUAUGAAGAUCUCAAGGUUACUGCACCAGGAAUGUCACGGCAAGCUUUUGUGGAGUGACAUGAUAUGUGGAGACACCAUGCAGAAAUCAUUCCUGGAAUGGUCUUAUGCAAGAUUUGAGGUUGAGAAGUUGUCUCAGGUGAUUCAGUUUCAGUGCCCUGCAUGCACACCUCUGUUGGCUGUUGCAGUAGAUGGAAACCGCAAGCUUUACCGCUUUAAAAGCCAACCGGGACCUAAUGGAUUUUUUGAAGGUGUGUUUCUGGCCAAGGAUGUCGAGGUGACCUCCUUUGUUGACUACAUUCAUGGGGCAACACAACAUAAUCCUGGGAAAGGGAGGUGUGGUGCAGGCGAGUAGGUGGCAGCACGAGAGUCCUCUACCAAGUCUGCAAGCAAAGUGGAUGAAGAAGGUGUCAUGGUUGCUGUCUGCCGUCAUGGGAUUUUGCUGAAGGGACUGAAUAUGUUCCGUGGGGAGAUAUUUGCAUAUCCCUUAUAUCUCCAGAAACAGCUUGCUUCACAAAAUGUGCAGUUCUUCUGCUCUGAUGUGGUAUGCAAAUAUUGGCCAUAUUUGCAGAGGGUUGUGGGGCAGUGUCCUGAGUUACAGGACCUGUUGAAGGUGCAUCCCUUUCUUUCAAUCAUGCAUGCUAAAGCACAUUCCUGGAUGAAUGAGGUAAUUGCAAGUGGCUUAUUUGUCAUUACUACUAUUGGUCCUCUUCCAAAAGGUAACAUACAAAUUUGUUGUAGUUGCAAUGGGGGGGGGACAAAAUCAAGAGGGAGCAGGAACAAUGAUAGGGGAGGAGGUUGAACAAGUGAAUAGCUUCCUCUCUUGAGCAGCCAAGUACAUUUCAAAAGCUGGUAAAUAUAUAUAUAUUUUUAUGCAUCUAACGGAUUUAGUUUUUGAUUUCCUUGCCUAAUGUGUUGUUAAGUCCGCACAGACAUCCUUACUAUUCAGGCCAGUGGCUGGAACAAGCGGAAGGCCGAAAAUCUUGACCGGACAUUGGCCAAACGACCAGACUGAUUUUUGUCAUGAUGGAAACUUGUUUCUUUCAAAUUUGGCUCAGGAAUUUAUUCCAAUAUGGAUUUUUGACAGACUGUGCAAAAGAUUUCUGAGGCAUCAGAGGACCUUGAAAAACUGAUUAAACAGUUGUCACUACAAGAAGACAUAGUCCAGCAGUGGGUGUCUGAAGUUAAAGAAUGGACAGCAGGAACAACUAGUCAAAACGACCUGGAGAAAACCAUUGAAGGACUGUACCUGAGCAUCAAGCAGAGAAAAUACGAGCUGUAUCGUCAGUCUGGUGAGAAGGGAGGGGUGAAGAAAUGCCACUUUUUUUUUUUAUAUAUACAUUUCCUUAAGGAACAACUAGUCAAAACGACCUGGAGAAAACCAUUGAAGGACUGUACCUGAGCAUCAAGCAGAGAAAAUACGAGCUGUAUCGUCAGUCUGAUGGCAACAAGCGGAGACAUCAGCUAAGAAAAAAGAUUGCUGCAGAGAAGAGAGCCUUAGAAGAUGCCAUUACAAAACAUAAUGCUGUUAUGGGGGGAACUGACAAACUCCCUCUUCCCAACGAGCUCUUGGCUGAGGAAAACUACUCCUGGCCUUGGGAAUGUCAUGGUGAUAUGAUGAAGAAGAAAAAGUGAUGCUGCUGACAAGACUGAAAGAAGAAGAAAGAGAUUAUUGUGGUUCGGGAAGUCAAACAGCACUGGGAGUACUUGAGGACUGUGGUUGGAACACUUGAAGAACUCUCCUCCCAGCUUUCUGAAGGGAUCACCCAACAAGGCAGCAUUGAGGCGUUGAUGGGGAGAGGACGUGAGGGGACGCUGUGUCUGCUGAGGAGGAGGCUGUCUGCUGUUAGAGCCCAGCAGGGUGCUGCUCGCACAACUUACCAACAUGUCUUGGGAUUGCAAGGAUUGUCUCUGGAUGACUCCUCGACUGAUGAUGAAAACUUGGAAGAAAUUUGACCUCCCUCAAAAACAGUCACCCUAGCACCAAAAUAUUGUAAUAAUGAUGCCUGUAUGGGAGGGGGGACUGAUAUUGAAUUUGUACUUUAUUAUGCAAAAUAACAAAACAAUUUAUUUAAAAUUACAUUUUGGUAGAUUUAUUCUGCACUACACUAUUGUAAAUUUAAAUAGAUUUGGUCAAUUAGAUGCAGAUGCUGUUUUUAAUUAGGAUUUUCUUUUUUUUUUUCCUUUACAAAUUGGGCAUAACUUCACCCACAACAUUUCAUAGUGCUUGCUCUUGUGUUGAUGUCACCUCACUGUUUUUGGACUUGUAUGAAACGGCCUUCACUAAACCGUUCAAUGUGUUUAUAUGGAACACGCUUGCUAGAUGUUUUACAGCAGUAAUCGGUGACCUUUUCAUAAGUCUUCAGUUUAUUGGUCUCGAUGCAUUGCAAAGGUAUGUCUGGUAUGAGCAGGUCUUGGUGUAUGAGAUUACUUUUUUCUGAUCAAAGUUAUUGGAUCUCAACAAACAGGAAGUAACUGGGGUGCUAAUACUAUAGUAGUUUUCUCUGCUCAGUGAACUGUCCUGAAUUUGGUUCAAAUCAGGUGCCCACAAGCACUUUCUGCACUACAAUGCUAAUGUAGUGGCCUAUAAACCCAUAGAAGUUUGUGGUCUACUCAAACCUGUCAUAAUAGAAUGCAUGUAUUUAUUAGAUUUCUCAUUAAAUAAAAUUAUGUACAUCAUA